rnacentral:rRNA from 1 species
CCCUUAGAUGUUCUCGGCCGCACACGCGCUACACUGAAAGAGGCAACGUGUUUGCCUGAUUCGAAAGAAUUGGGUAACCCCCUAAUCUCUUUCGUGCUGGGGAUUGAGGUUUGCAAUUAUCCUUCAUGAACGAGGAAUUCCCAGUAAGUGCGAGUCAUUAUCUCGCGCUGACUACGUCCCUGCCCUUUGUACACACCGCCCGUCGCUACUACCGAUUGAAUGAUUUAGUGAGGACUUCGGACUGAGUCCAAUGCGGCUUUCGGGCUGCGUUGGUAUUUCUGAAAGAUGUCCAAACUGUAUCAUUUAGAGGAAGUAAAAGUCGUAACA